rnacentral:rRNA from 1 species
CACGUAGGGUGCGAGCGUUUGUCCGGAAUUAUUGGGCGUAAAGAGCUCGUAGGCGGUGUGUCGCGUCGGCCGUGAAAACCUGCAGCUUAACUGUGGGCUUGCGGUCGAUACGGGCAUCACUGGAGUUCGGCAGGGGAGACUGGAAUUCCUGGUGUAGCGGUGAAAUGCGCAGAUAUCAGGAGGAACACCGGUGGCGAAGGCGGGGUCUCU